GGAUUCGUUAACCACUGAGCCACAACGGGAACUCCCUGAUUCAUUUUUAAAAGAGGUUAGCAUCACCAUGAAGAGGAUGUUCUCUUUAGUAUUACGUUGAAUUUAAGGGAGGUUUCAAAUAAUGCUUUGGCAAUCAGUUUUCCAUGUCCUUUCUAAAGCUGUCCUAUCACAUGCAUAUCCUAAGAUCUUCUAAAGAACAUUCAUUCAUUUAGUAUUUUGUUAUGCAAUGAAACAGCAAACAUCUUUAUUCUUGAAGCUUUUUUGUUGGGUCUUAAUUCUGUUUGAAGUGUAACAUAUAAAAUCAAGAAAAAAGAAUAGCUAUAACUGUAGCUUUGUAACAAGGCCCAUUUUGUUGGGUUGAACAAUCCCAAUUUGUGAACUUUUUUGCUUUACAAUAUUAUGUGUCAGGUAUAUAACAUAGUGAUUCAAAAGUUUUCAAAAUUAUACUUGAUUUAUAGUUAUUAUAAAAUAUAGGCUAUAUUCCCUGUUCUGUUCACAUAUUCCUACAGCUUAUUUAUUUUAUACAUAUUAGUUCAUACCUCUUAAUUUCCUAUCCCAAUCUUGACCCUCCCCCUUCCCUCUGGUAACCACUAGUUCGUUGACUUAUAUUUGUGAGUCUGUUUCUGUUUUGUUAAAUUCACUAAGUCUUAUUUUUUUUGGGUUCCACAUAUAAGUGAUAAUACACAGUAUUUGUUUUUGUCUGGUUUACUUCAUUAAGCAUUAAUACCUUCUAAGUCACCCGUGUUGCAAAUGGCAAAAUUCCCUUUUAUAUGGCUAAAUACUCCAUUUUAUAUAUGUAUACACACACAGACACACACACACCCCUUUAUCCAUUUGUGCGAACUUUUUGAAGCUACACUUAGCUAAGGAAAGAUUUCCAUUGAGCCUAAGAUCACACCAAAGAAAGUAGCUCUCUUUUAAUUUUACUCUGUAAAGGGCUAUUAAAAUGACACCAGCACCCAGUUCUUGGGUAUUGCUUAGAUACUACAUCAAAGUGCUGUGUGCUGACCUGGACUAUUUCUUUUUUCCCAAUUUUAUUGAAAAAUAAUUGACGUACAUCAUUGUAUAACUCUAGCAACCACAAGUCUGAUCUCUUUUUCUGCGAGUUUGAGUUUGGUUUCACUUAGCAUGAAUACCUUCAAGGCCCAUUCAUCUUUUCACAAAUACUGGGACUUCCUCAUAUUUUAAUGACUGAAUAAUAAUCCCUUGUGUAUGUGUAUGUAUAUGUGUGUAAUAUUCCCUUUGAGUAUAUAUAUGUGUCUAUAUACACACACACCACAACUUUGAGUCUUUCAUCCAUUGAUGGACACGUUAGCUAUUUCCAUGUCUCGGUUGUUGUAAAUAAUGCUGCUAUGAGUGUGGGGGUGCAGAUACAUUUUUGAGUUAGUGUUUUCAUUACCUUUGGAUAUAUUCCCAGAAGUGGGUUGCUGGAUCAUGUGGUGGUUCUAUUUUUAAUUGUUUGGGGACCUCCAUACUGUUUUUCAAAAAGGCUCUGUAUCAGUUGAAAAUCUCACCUGCAGUAUACAAGGAUUCCCCUUUCUCUACAUCCUCACCAGCCUUUUUUAACCUCUUGUCUCUUUAAUGAUAGCCACUCUGACAGGCCUGGGGUGCUAUCUCAUUAUGGUUUUAACUUCAUUUCUCUAAUGACUAGUGAUGCUGAGCAUCUUUUCAUGUAUGCAUUGGCCUUUCGUGUGUUGUCUCUGGAGAAAUAGCUAUUUAAUUGCUUUGCCCGUUUGUUUUUUUAACUGGGCUGUUUUUUGUUGCUGGGUUUGUUUUGUUUUUUUGGUGUUGAGUUCCAUGAGUUCUUUAUUAUAUUUUUUGGAUAUUAACCCCUAUUGUUAGAUACGUGGCUAACAAAUACUUUUUCCUAUUCCACAGCUCGUUUUUCUUUACUUUGUUGAUGGUUUCUUUUGCUGUGCAGAAACAUUUUAGUUUGAUAUCAUCCUACUUUUUGAUUUCUGAUUCUGUUGCUUGGGAUAUAAGUGUCACUAAAUCAUUUCCUAAACCCCUUCCCAGCUCUGGAUUUCUGAUUCUAUUGUAUAUUGUUCCCCAGUUUUAAGGAUUCCAGCAUUUCAGCUGGCAGGGUUGUUUGCACUUGAAAUAUUCUGUUGUAGGGGUAUCAUCUUGGGGGCUUGAACUGAUGGGGACUCUGUGCCAAGGAAAGCACACAAAAUCACAGACUUUUUGAAUGUGGGGAGUGCCUAAAACUUUCACAUAUUCCUACCUGGGUUUGAAGCCAGCUGUGGCUCCACAAAAGCUGAUUAACUCUCUGUGGACUCUUCUAGGGAAGAUGUCAGGAUACAGUUGGGUCCCUGGGAUUUUGUGCAUGCACGUUUCCCCUGAUAUGAAGUUGCAGAUGAUGGAAAGCAGCCCCUUUGAGGUGAUCGUUUUUCCAAAUCUGUGUUUUUCUUGGCUUGGGUCUGGAACAUGGAGGUCUCGGAGCCCUCGGAAGGUGGCCCCCAUGCACGUACUGCUCAGCUCUCAGGCCUGCGUUUAUGGAAAAAGUUCUUAAAGAAACAGAUUGAAAUAGAGUAAGAUCAAGUAUUCACUUGUGGGUUUCCAUGAAAGUUGCUUUUUUAAAAAAACUUUCCCCUUCACUUGCUUGUGGAAUGUCUCAGGGCUGGCUCAUCAGGAGAGAGGCGUACAGUAAGCAAAACAAAUGUUAUAAUUCACAUCCCUUCCUGUUCUCCCAGGGCUUCAACACACAGGCAGUCUUAUUUGCAUUCUCUAGCAUUCAUCUCCCUGCUUCCUGUUUGUGUCAAGACUGUAUUAGAGAGUUACAACAGUCCUCCUCUCCCAUGCUGCAGCCUAUGUUCUGUUGUAAAUCAGAUAUUUGAUUGUGCUCAGAGUGAAGGGAAACCUCACUUCCUCACAGAGAGGGUGUUUGUCUGUACAUACACUAGCCUCUUUCCCCACAUUUCAUAUUCUUGAAUUGAGAUCCAGAAGAAAUGAUCGGCGACUGAAGGAUUCCAUGGCAAAGCCUUAGAACCAAGUACCAUCCUCUCUUCUCUCUGCACAGGUGUUAUUCUUAGCAUGGUGCUUUUUCAUAAAUAGUAGCGUAGGUGUAGGGGCCGAUUCAUCCACUAUAUUUAAAAAAAAAAAAAAAAAGCCCUUCUCAGGGAGGUUAGUUUCCUUUAGAAGCCAUGCUAAUUCUUUAAGACCAAAGAGUAUACUUCAGCAUUCUCACACAUCUUAACUAGUAAGUGGAAACUUUUUACUGUAAACAUUUUUGAAGCAUUCAUAUGUAUUUGAGGGAAUAAUUUACGUUCUGGGUAAGUCUAGUUAUAAUUGCUCCAGUAAGAACCAUUGUCCUUUGCUUCUCUAUCUCUACAUCAGUGAAAAGUCAAAUUAUCAAGCGCCUCUGGUAUUAUCCUAAGGAAUCCCUUACUAGGUCUGAUGGUGAAAUUCACUCCACAUCUCUUUAAGUGUAGAAUUCAGGGCCAGAAGGGAAGAGAGUACUGAAAUCAGCUCACUUUCCUUCCUUCUGCUUCUGGGUUCCUGCUGUAUCUUGGAGGAAAUACAGUAUAGUACAGUAGUGCAUUACAAAUUUAUUCAUUCAGUACACACUGUCAGGGGCCUGGGGAUGCUUGGCUAAAUCUCAGUAUUUAAGAGCUAAGAGUUUAGCUGUUCAAGAUAGUCAUGUAUACAAAUAAAUGAAUUGAAGUAUUAUACAUAUUGUAAUAGAAUAUGUGCAGCAACAGUGAAGAGAAAUAGAUGAUCUCUUGCUUGAUGAGAGAUGCUUGAGAUAAGAGGGCACUUAACAUUUCCUGUGGCUGGCCUCGCCAAAGAAUUAAGACAGAAAUGGAAAGUCUGGUGUUCUCUGAGAAGCAACUUGUACUUUUCAGAUCCUCUCUGAGUACUUUCUAGAAACUGUUGUGAAUAGCCUGCAUCUCAUCUAGCUGACCUCCGAGUUUUAGUGGUUUAGGAGCAUCUGAUGCUGGUGAGGACCAUUGGUGUAGAAAUCCAUCCUGGCCAGAGUCCAGCUCCCUGUAAGAAUUCAUAAUGAAUUUUAUAUCAUAGAUCUCAAUAUGAAUAAAUUGAUGAUAAUAGGUCCUUUUCCUGGAUUUUUUACUCAUUGUGUGACCUCCCUGGGGUUUCUGUUUAAUAGCUGUAAAAAUGGCUGCUGUUUCUAUUUCAUGGGGGCUGAUAUGAAAGAUAAAGUGAGAAAACUAAGGAAAUAUUUUGAACUCUGUAAAGUACUUGAAAAACUAUACACGUGUGAAGAAAUGCCGCUUAUGUCUUUUGG
ensembl:lncRNA